rnacentral:rRNA from 1 species
GAUGAACGCUGGCGGCGUGCCUAAUACAUGCAAGUCGAGCGAACGGACGAGAAGCUUGCUUCUCUGAUGUUAGCGGCGGACGGGUGAGUAACACGUGGAUAACCUACCUAUAAGACUGGGAUAACUUCGGGAAACCGGAGCUAAUACCGGAUAAUAUUUUGAACCGCAUGGGUCAAAAGUGAAAGACGGUCUUGCUGUCACUUAUAGAUGGAUCCGCGCUGCAUUAGCUAGUUGGUAAGGUAACGGCUUACCAAGGCAACGAUGCAUAGCCGACCUGAGAGGGUGAUCGGCCACCCUGGAACUGAGACACGGUCCAGACUCCUACGGGAGGCAGCAGUAGGGAAUCUUCCGCAAUGGGCGAAAGCCUGACGGAGCAACGCCGCGUGAGUGAUGAAGGUCUUCGGAUCGUAAAACUCUGUUAUUAGGGAAGAACAUAUGUGUAAGUAACUGUGCACAUCUUGACGGUACCUAAUCAGAAAGCCACGGCUAACUACGUG